GCCAGGUGUUGUGGCGGGCGCCUGUAGUCCCAGCUACUUGGGAGGCUGAGGCAGGAGAAUCGCUUGAACUCGGGAGGUAGUGGUUGCAGUGAGCCACAAUUACACCACUGCAUUCCAUCCUGGGCAACAAAGUGAGACUCCGUCUCAA
ensembl:misc_RNA Metazoa_SRP Metazoan signal recognition particle RNA